CAUUGCUGUUUUUUUGCGUUUGUAAUAUGACGUAGAAAAAUUAUAACGGCAUUUUAACGUAAUUAUUGCUCGAGGGAAACAAAACGGUACUUAACAGUAUUUUUGACUUGACAUCGGAAGAGCUGCAGUGAGCACGCAUGGAUUUUUCAUCCAUCUUCAUACUUAUAAUAGUGAUAAAAGCACCAACUGCGACAUCGUGAGGGAAGUUGGAUUCCUCACACGGAUAAUUCCCGAUUACAGGUUUCAGGUGAAACACCAGGAAGCUGUAUUCAGCACUGGAUGAUCAGCCUUGAGGGUCAUAUUAUUUCUGAGGGCAUCCAGCCGGCUUUUGUGUCUGGGCUUGCUGCUGUUUUUUCUACUUUUUACAACUUCAAUCUUCAAUACCAAGCUGAGGCAGCAUGCACACUGGAAUUUAUUCAAAGGCAGUUCAUCGGGAUAAACCCAGAAAAAGGCACCAAGGUUGGAGGAGUCAUUUCAAAACGGACGGGGAAGCUCGCCCAGAAAAACAAA